CUGCCGCGGGCACCGAGGCUGAGCGGGACGACGGGGCCGGAGGCAGCGGGGAGCCCGUGAGGAGAUGAUCUGAGGGCAGUGGCGGCACUGAGGCCGAUAGCGGUUUGGGAGCACACUGAGAACACUGGGAGCUCUUUGCAGCCACUGCACUGAGGAAGCCAGCUCGACCCACAGCCAUCAGCCCGAGCUCAGCACCUAUUGAAGUUGUGUCAGAUUCUUUGAGGAGAAGCUUUCAACACUCCAGCCUGAAAUGGCCUCCUUUUUGGAGGUAAGUCUGCUCGAUGGCAGUGCUGGGGUCUGGACUUUCUUGCAGGCCAGAGAAGUAAAGGCUUCUUUCAUUCAUCUUUUAAUGGACAGUGGUGUUUUUUAGCCUACAGAUUUUUGCCACAUGCUCCUGGAAAUGGCCAAUUUCAACGUAUUUUUGCCUGCAAACAGCCAGAAAUGUGUGGUUUGCAUUUGGGUUUGCAGCACAUGGUCUUGGCAGUGCCUGGAGUGAGAUCUGUCCUUGCUCGGCUGGGUUGGGAACAAAGACAGCACCUGGAUUUCUGCCACCUCAUUUCUUACAGCUCAUGGCAUAGGCCAGUGUCAGAGUGUGAGGGCGUGAACCCUCAUUUGCUGUAUUAUGGUUUUCUGAGUUCAUGUUUCGCCUAGGAGGUCAUUUUGUGACAGCUUGAGCUUCUCGUUGGCACCUUUAAUUUGGAGUUGAAAACACUUGUCAUAUGAACCACCAGGGCAGUGCUCCCCUCUUGUUACACAUCCCUUGGGAGUGGAGAAGAACAGUUACUGUGUGCACGAAGUGACUCCAAGAAAAUACUGAGUGAUCUUUGGUUAACUUUUGUUUCUCUUCUAAGGAGGAUGUCAGUGUUGCCUCUGAGUGUUAGGAGAGCAGCCUGUAAACAGAGCUGCAGCUGAGACAGCCGUGCCUGGCAACACAAGCAAUGGGAACAGUUCCCUGGAGCUCGAGGAGCCUGGUAAAGAGGAGAGUCCACGUUCCUGGAGAGACCUCUGAAAGGGCUGCUCUGAGCUGGGCAGACAGGAAGGGAGAUCAGAAGAGUUCAGUCCCUGUCUGCAGCGUUGCUGCCUCCUGUGCCUUUGGUUCAAAUCCUGCACUGGCACCACCUCCCCAAGCCCUGCCCCCACGCUCCUGCAGAGGUACCGACACGGCAACAGAGCUGUGAAUGAACCCGACCUGUGGGAGUUGUGUCACCAGCCUGACCCGUGGGAGCUGUGUCACCAGCCCUGAUGUCCUCAUUGCCAGCUGAGGUCCAUGGAUCUAUGUCCUGCAGGGUGACAAUGCUAUGGAGGCAGCACUGAGUGGGGUGACUGUUGUAGCAACAGGAAAAACCCCACCAAAAUGAUGAAGCCAGUGCAAAAGCCCAAACUUCUUGCCUCAAAUCAUUACCUAAUUUUGGUACCAGUCUGCUGAUCCCUAUCCUGAGACACAGGAGAAAAACAAGCAGCUGAACAUCUGAGGCCAAACAAGUCUCCAGUCCAGUAACUAAAGGAAAAGCCUAAAGGUCCCCAGCUUAGCAAGGCCUCAGAGGAGAGAGGGAGCCCUUUGGGUCUGCAUUCCAGAUCAAGGCUGGUGCAGCCUGCAACCUUGCAAGGAGCUCUUUCCCUCCCAGCUGCUCCUCCCAGAGCUGGUGGCAGGGCUGGAGGAGCUGUGGCUCACUGCAGAGGGAGUUCCUCUAUCCCAGGGAAUGGAGCUGGUUCAUGACUCAGGUCCCAGCACCCUUCAGCUUCAGCCCUUUCAGUGAGGACUGAGGGCUCUGUCAGCACAGGGAAAGAGCAGGGCUGGCGUUCUUUGUGUGAGCUGGGACUGAUUAAAGCUCUCGUGGGUGCCACUUGCACUGGGAAUGCUGUGGCUUUAUGGGGAUACUUCAAAACUUUACAGUCUGGAAAACUCUGGAAGGAUUGCUGUUCUCUACAAAGCAGACUCAAAUUCCCAAGUGAAAGUAUGCCGUUCCGGCCAUCUGUCACAGUCCCUGCUAGAAGCACAGUUGCUGUCCCGGGAAAUGUGCCCGAGGGCUGCUGCUCCUGUUCCCGGUGCUACCAGGAAGUACCCCGUGUUCCUGGUGCUUCCCAGAGCUCCACCUGGGGUACCUUGCCAGGAGGGCUGCCCUGCACAGGAGGAAGUGCCUGAGCUCCCAGUCUGGGCCGGCCCUCCUGCGUGACGAUGGCAGCAGCACUGCGGGGCCACAGCUCCUUGUGCAGAGCCCCGACUGCUGCCCUGAGGUCCCUACAGACACCAAGAGACUGAAGAGGUACCACAAGGAGAACCUGCCAGGCGGCCUGGAGGUGUCCAGCCCUGCUUCCAGCUACUCCCAGCAGCACCUGGACUCAUCCCUGGGGCCUGCUGCUGCCACCCUCGAGACAGCUGAGCAACUCCUCCAGGACAACUGAAGCUGCUUCUGGAUUGUUCCCAGGUAAGGAGGCUUCCCCAGCUCUUCCACAGAAAGUGGUCACUACUCCAAGAAUUUAGAGAUUUUUUACUGUGGCCACAGAUCUGUCCUCAUGCACAGCCCCGUCUUAUAUUUGUUUCUUGUCAGUCCUGUUAUAAUAACCUGAAGAAAUUUUUAAACUGAAAUUGAUAUUUGCAUAUAUUAGCAGUCUAAUUGUAGCAGUUUCCAAUAAAUUAAAGUUUUAG